CUUUAAGAAAUCGUUGGAUCCAUAAUGUAUAAGAAUGCAUACCAACUCAAAUGUCAAAGGGAGUGUGAAACUCAACGACAGGGAGAGGGAGAGAGAUGGGGUUUUGCUUUGAUUGCUUCGGUGGAGAGUCUGAGGAGAGUAGGCGGAGAAGAGAGGAAGAAGAUCGCUUGGCCUCCGAGGAAGCUCGAGCUAAAGCAGCCGAAGCCGCUCAGAGAAGGCAAGAGCAAUUUGAGAAAUCUGCUGCAGGAAAAGCUGCACGUGCACAGCUAUUAGCACAAGAAAAUGCAAAAAAAUCUGCUACCUCCAACAGGGGUGAACCGGUUCUUAAGUGGCAGAUGGGAUGAAGUUUAAGCCUUUGGCUGUUCAAUUAUAACAGUUUUGUAAGUCCUUCAAACUUUUAACUUGUUCUUUUUCAAAGCAGUUGAAUGUAUAAUGUUGGUAUCGCUAUUCACUCUUGUUCUAAGGAGCACCAAGUUGAAGAUGUCUAGAGCAACAAUUCAACAUCAAGGCAAAAUAACCAUACCUAUCUUCUAUAAAUCUCCACUGCCUAUUUGUCUCUCCUUAUAAAGUUACAAGUAUUUUAAGGCACUAUCCACCCAUGUCACGUUCCAAUAUCCAAGGGCUUGCUCUGUAAUCAAUUUGCCUUCUGAGGACAGUGGAAUAAAGUUAAAGUUGCAUAUUCACACUUUCACAAAAUUUGUUUCAAGUGAUCUUUGAGUUGGACUGUAA